rnacentral:misc_RNA from 1 species
CGUGAGGUUGGGUUGAUCCUUCCGCGUAACACUUGCCGAAGCCUUAGCAGCCCGAAAGGGUGCAGUUCCAACGACUAUAUCAUCAGAGGACUGCUUAAAUGCUAGUCUGCGCAGUGCAGGCAACACUAUCAAAUUGCGGGAACACCCUAAAGACCUCAACACCAAGCGCCGGUGGGAAACCACGGCGUGGCCGAGCUAAUAGCCCUGGGUAUGGUAACAGCUUGAGGUAUGAUGCUCUCUCGAGAGUUGAAAUGGGCAAUCCGCAGCCAAGUCCUACAGCGCUCGCGCUCGAGUGCCAUGGAUGCUGUUCACAGGCCAAAUGGUAGUGGGUGACCCCCGAUGGGGUUGCUUAAGAUAUGGUCGGGCCCCUCCAGAAAUGUUGGGGGUAAGUUUACGCCGGCGGGCAUCGCUCACAUUGAGCGUGUCUGUCCGAGAACAAACCGUUCCGUAGGUGAACCUGCGGAAGGAUCAUUAUCGAGGGGGCUCUGCCCCCGUCAAGAUACCACCCCUUGCUUUUGAGUACCGUCUGUUUCCUCGGCAGGCUCGUCUGCCAAUGGGGACCACAACCAAACCUUUCUGUAAUGCAGUAAACGUCUGAUAAACAAAAAAUCAAAACUUUCAACAACGGAUCUCUUGGUUCUGGCAUCGAUGAAGAACGCAGCGAAAUGCGAUAAGUAGUGUGAAUUGCAGAAUUCAGUGAAUCAUCGAAUCUUUGAACGCACAUUGCGCCCUUUGGUAUUCCUUAGGGCAUGCCUGUUCGAGCGUCAUCUAACCCUUCAAGCACUGCUUGGUGUUGGGCGUUUGUCCCGCCUCGGGCGCGGACUCGCCUCAAAGACAUUGGCGGCCUGUGUAUUGGCUUCGAGCGCAGCAGACUCGCGCCUCGACUCCUCUUGCACUAG